UACGGAGGGUGCAAGCGUUAUCCGGAUUCACUGGGUUUAAAGGGUGCGUAGGAGGGCAGGGAAGUCAGUGGUGAAAUCUCCGGGCUUAACUCGGAAACUGCCGUUGAUACUCUCUGUCUUGAAUCCCGUGGAGGUGAGCGGAAUAUGUCAUGUAGCGGUGAAAUGCUUAGGUAUGACAUAGAACACCAAUUGCGAAGGCAGCUCGCUACACGAAGAUUGACUCUGAGGCACGAAAGCGUGGGGAUCAAACAGG
rnacentral:rRNA from 1 species